UUCAUUCUCUGUAUAAAAAGUUUGCUGUUGUUGGAAAGCUUUGGGCGGGGAUGUCAAAGCAAAACAUUUUUUUAGACACGCAAAGUGUGUCACGAUGAUUUCAAUUUUUCAUCUUUUUUACGUCGAAAUCAUCAUUAAUAGCUUACAAAAGGUAUGUAUUCUCAUAAUUUAACAAUUUACUUUAUUGUUUGACCUUACUAUGUUAUUUCAGGAAUAUUGUUCACACCGUUGUUUCCCAUAUAAUCGACCUUUACCGCACCCGGAAGAGGCCAUCGAGUGUGUUCAAAGCUUGAAAAAUGGACAGUUGCGCGAUGGCUCGGGAAAGUUGAUAGAGUGCAUCGGGAGGUCCGAGUUUUUAUUUAUAUUCCGGACCGCAGCCGUACGUUCAAUUUUCUUUCAAAAAUUUACCUCACAAUGAGCGCAGAAAGUCUCCGAAUAGGAAGAAGGGAACCAAAAGAGAUGUGCUUCUCAUCUAAUCGGAGCAGCCAUCACUAAAGCACUUGGGAACGGAUCCCGCAGAAAAUCCCUUACAGCGACGGAAACCAUCAUCUGGGAGACAGUUUUCAGGAGGGACUAAAACAAAACAUAUCAACUGGCAUGAUGAAACAGGUGGCUACAUCGAACGGAUGCAAAUCCGUACCGGAAGCUGGAGACUGACGAGCUCCAGAACAGGACCGAGUCGUCUUAGAAAAAAGCCCUGAAAGAUGAUUAUCUUCGGCAACGAUCGGCCCCAAGGAACUGCAACUGACAACCAAAGAAAAGGAAGCCUUUUAAUAUCGCCCGUCACUAGCAGACACCGCCGUAAAGUUAUUGAUUUGUGAUUAAAUCGUUCCAACUAUUACCU